rnacentral:rRNA from 1 species
UUCCGGUUGAUCCUGCCGGAGGUCACUGCUAUCGGGGUUUGACUAAGCCAUGCGAGUCAAAUGUUCUUCGUGAACAUGGCGUAAUGCUCAGUAACACGUGGAUAACCUGCCCUUAGGUCCGGCAUAAUCUCGGGAAACUGAGGAUAAUUCCGGAUAGCUCUUUUUGGCCGGAAAUGUAUUAAGAGUAAAAGUAUUUCGCCUAAGGAUGGGUCUGCGGCCUAUCAGGUAGUAGAGGGUGUAACGCACCUUCCAGCCGACAACGGGUACGGGUUGUGAGAGCAAGAGCCCGGAGAUGGAUUCUGAGACAUGAAUCCAGGCCCUACGGGGCGCAGCAGGCGCGAAAACUUUACAAUGCAGGAAACUGUGAUAAGGAAACACCGAGUGCCCGCAUCUAAUGCGGGCUGUCCGCGUACUCAAAUCGUACGCGUCAGCAAGGACCGGGCAAUACCGGUGCCAGCCGCCGCGGCAAUACCGGUGGUCCGAGUGGUAGCCGCUUUUAUUUGGUCUAAAGGGUCCGUAGCCGGUCCGGUCAGUCCAUUGGUAAAUCCGCGCGCUCAACACGCGGUCUUCAGUGGAUACUUCCGGACUUGGGACCGGGAGAGGUAAGAGGUACUAUAGGGGUAGGAGUGAAAUCCUGUAAUCCUUAUGAGACCACCUGUGGCGAAGGCGUCUUACCGGAACGGGUCCGACGGUGAGGGACGAAAGCUGGGGGCACGAACCGGAUUAGAUACCCGGGUAGUCCCAGCCGUAAACUAUGCCCGCUGGGUGUCAGGCAUGGCAUGACUGUGUCCGGUGCCGUAGAGAAGUCGUGAAGCGGGCCACCUGGGAAGUACGGCCGCAAGGCUGAAACUUAAAGGAAUUGGCGGGGGAGCACUACAACGGGUGGAGCCUGCGGUUUAAUUGGAUUCAACGCCGGA